UAGAGAAAUAGAACUAAAUCUAACACAUGCAUGUCGGUUUAGCUAUGUGAGGACCCCCAAUAAUUUCGAAUCCGAGACAACAUCACCCUGAAUCGCCAUCUCAACUCCACAAAAUCAUGUCUCCCAAGCCUCAAGCCAUCAGAAAUUGGAGUACCAUUUUGCACAUGCCACGUAGGUGUCCGAGAUGAACAAAGAGACAGAAGAGACAAAGUCAAAAAGCUUCCAAACUCACGGAUCUGCAAAUUGUGAGCAUACACCCGUGAGAAAACAAGCUGAAGCAGCCGGUCUAAUAGUCCCAGAAAGCAAAAUCAAACAGCAACUGUCGCGGCCUUUGUAUGUCAUCAAGGGUAUACGGAUCCAUGAUAGAGCCAAGGAGACAGAAGUAAACACACAAGAGCAACGGAGGAAAACAGCACAGGCCGCAUGACCCAGAUCGAUGCAUCUGGGAGGUAAAAUUCGAAUCCCUGCAAGUGUAAUUGUUGUAGAUCUGGUAAUAAUAUCUGUACUCAGUUCUGUGGUGUAUGGAUCUGUGAUUUAAUUGUGCUUCCUCCAUGCAUCGCAAAACUGAGCUGCAGAAAAUUAACUGCUCUAAACUCUGUUUAUGCGCUGGAUCUACAACAAUCACCCCCAAACUUGCAUCUGUGAAUGGCUAUUUAUGUUGACUGCUUUAAAUUUCCAGCAUAGUGUAGAUGUGGUUGAUGUGAACGAUAGACUUGCUGCUGGGUGCAGGAUUCCAGCUUAGGACGCGUUUUAUUUUCCACGUUCGCAACCUGCAAUUAACCAAUAUGCGU